UACGUAGGGUGCAAGCGUUGUCCGGAAUUAUUGGGCGUAAAGAGCUCGUAGGCGGUUUGUCGCGUCGAAUGUGAAAACCCGGGGCUCAACCCCGGGCCUGCAUUCGAUACGGGCAGACUAGAGUUCGGUAGGGGAGUCUGGAAUUCCUGGUGUAGCGGUGAAAUGCGCAGGAUAUCAAGGAGGAACACCGGUGGCGAAGGCGGGACUCUGGGCCGAUACUGACGUGGAGGAGCGAAAAGCGUGGGGGAGCAAAACAGG
rnacentral:rRNA from 1 species